rnacentral:misc_RNA from 1 species
CAAGUGACCCCGGUCUAACCACCGGGAUGUUCAUAACCCUUUGUUGUCCGACUCAGUUGCCUCCGGGGCGACCCUGCCUUCGGGCGGGGGCUCCGGGUGGACACUUCAAACUCUUGCGUAACUUUGCAGUCUGAGUAAACUUAAUUAAUAAAUUA